CCGCUGGGGAGUACGGUCGCAAGACUGAAACUCAAAGGAAUUGACGGGGGCCCGCACAAGCGGUGGAGUAUGUGGUUUAAUUCGAUGCAACGCGAAGAACUUACUGGCCUCGACAUCUGUCGAAUCCUGCAGAGAUGCGGGAGUGCCGCAAGGAACGACAAGACAGGUGCUGCAUGGCUGUCGUCAGCUCGUGUCGUGAGAUGUUGGGUUAAGUCCCGCAACGAGCGCAACCCUUGUCCCUAGUUGUCCAGCACGUAAUGGUGGGAACUCUAGGGAGACUGCCGGUGACAAACCGGAGGAAGGUGGGGAUGACGUCAAGUCCUCAUGGCCUUACGGCCAGGGCUACACACGUACUACAAUGGUCGGUACAGAGGGUUGCGAAGCGCGAGCGAAGCCAAUCCCAGAAAACCGAUCCCAGUCCGGAUUGGAGUCUGCAACUCGACUCCAUGAAGUCGGAAUCGCUAGUAANCGCGAAUCAGCUAUGUCGCGGUGAAUACGUUCCCNNNCCUUGU
rnacentral:rRNA from 1 species